UACCAAGCUACGAAGAGCCAAUGGUGAAUGCCUUGGCGCCGAACACCGAUGAAGGACGUGAUAGGCUGCGAUAAGCCACGGGGAGCCGCCGAAUAGGCUUUGAUCCGUGGAUAUCCGAAUGGGGAAACCCGGCACCUCUUAUCGGGUGUCACUCCUGCCUGAAUCUAUAGGGCAGGUAGAGGGAACGAGGGGAAUUGAAACAUCUCAGUACCCUGAGGAAAAGAAAGCAACAGCGAUUCCCGGAGUAGCGGCGAGCGAAAUGGGAAGAGCCUAAACCGAAUCCGGUGGUAAAGCCUGGUGGCGUUGCCGGAUCGGUGUUGUGGGACAUCCCCGACCGAGCACCAGAUCGGUCAAGGAGUUACAAAGCAGGCAGAUAGCGGAACCGUACAGGAAAGGCGGGCCGCAGAGGGUGACAGCCCCGUACGCGAAAUCUGCUUGCCUCCUGGGAUUGCUCCCGAGUAGCGCCGGUUCCGUGAAGGCCGGCGUGAAUCUGCGAGGACCACCUCGUAAGGCUAAAUAUGUGUCGGCGACCGAUAGCGAACUAGUACCGUGAGGGAAAGGUGAAAAGUACCCCGGGAGGGGAGUGAAAUAGUACCUGAAACCGUUGGUUUACAAGCAGUCAGAGCGUCGUCUCAACCGAUGAUCUUCGGAUCGUCAAUCAGAGAUCGCGAUGGCGUGCCUUUUGAAGAAUGAGCCAACGAGUUACGGUAUGUGGCGAGAUUAACCUGUGAAGGGAAGUCGGAGCGAAAGCGAGUCAUAACUGGGCGUACAGUCGCAUGCCGUAGACCCGAAGCCGGGUGAUCUAUCCAUGGGCAGUGUGAAGCGGGGGUAAGACUCCGUGGAGGCGCGAACCGACCUAGGUUGAAAACUGGGCGGAUGACCUGUGGAUAGGGGUGAAAGGCCAAACAAACCCGGAGAUAGCUGGUUCUCCGCGAAAUGCAUUUAGGUGCAGCGUUGUGCGUUCAACCAUGGAGGUAGAGCACUGGAUGGGCUAGGGGGCCGACAAGCUUACCAACCUCAGCCAAACUCCGAAUGCCAUGGUUCCAGAGCACAGCAGUGAGACCCCGGGGGAUGAGCUUCGGGGUCGAAAGGGAAACAGCCCAGACCGCCAACUAAGGUCCCUAAUUUCUAGCUAAGUGGUAAACGAUGUGGGAUUGCACAGACAGCCAAGAGGUUGGCUUAGAAGCAGCCACCCUUGAAAGAGUGCGUAACAGCUCACUGGUCGAGUGAUCCUGCGCGGACAAUGUAACGGGGCUAAAGCUAGAAACCGAAGUUGCGGAUUUCUGCCAUUAGACAGGAGUGGUAGCGGAGCGUCGGGCUUGGAGUGAAGCGUCAGCGCAAGCUGGUGUGGACUGAGUCCGAGUGAGAAUGUUGGUAUGAGUAGCGAGAGAGGGGUGAGAAACCUUUCCGCCGAAAGCCCAAGGGUUCCUGGGGAAGGCUAAUCCUCCCAGGGUGAGUCGGGAGCUAAGGCGAGGCCGACAGGCGUAGUCGAUGCACAACCGGUUGAUAUUCCGGUACCGCUGUGAACGCGUCCAGGCUUAACUGGUGUUGCUAAGGGGAUACCUGUCCCGGUAAGGGACAGGAGAAACCGACCCACACCGGAGCGGCCAGCAACGCGGGGACGCAGAGAGGUAGGUGAACCCAGGCGACGGUAGUUCCUGGGGUAAGCGUGUAGGGCGGGGCCCAGGUAAGUCCGGUCCCCAUAAAGCCUGAGGCGUGAUACCGAACCGCAUGAGGUGAAGUCACUGAUCCUGUACUGCCAAGAAAAGCCGCUAGCGAGCUUUCACGGCGCCCGUACCCCAAACCAACACAGGUGGGCAGGUAGAGAAUACCAAGGCGAUUGGGAGAACUAUGGUUAAGGAACUCGGCAAAUUACAUCCGUAACUUUGGGAUAAGGAUGACCCUAGUAAAGUAAUGGACUUCGCGUCCGGAGCUUGAUUGGGUGGCACAAACCAGGGGAAAGCGACUGUUUACUAAAAACACAGCAGCGUGCGAAGUCGUAAGACGCUGUAUACGCUGUGACGCCUGCCCGGUGCUGGAAGGUUACGGGGAGGGGUUAGCCGUAAGGCGAAGCUCUGAACCUAAGCCCCAGUAAACGGCGGCCGUAACUAUAACGGUCCUAAGGUAGCGAAAUUCCUUGUCGGGU
rnacentral:rRNA from 1 species